rnacentral:sRNA from 1 species
AACUGAGGUUUGUUUUGGCACCUUCUGCCACCCCAGCAGAAGCCUUCAUACAACAUGACGAAACAAGGGAUCAUGUUGAAGUGUGUCCUGAUGCUGGUGUUAUCAUUGAGGAACUUUCUGAACGCAUUGCAUUAACUGGAGGUGCUGCACUGGUUGCUGAUUAUGGUCAUGACGGAACAAGGACAGAUACCUUCAGAGUGUUCCCUGCCUAGAGAAUUAAUGAGAGCUCUAUUCCGUCACCUCAAGCAUUAAUGGGUUUUGUGGCCACAAGCUUCAUGAUGUCUUAAUUGCCCCAGGAACAGCAGAUCUAACAGCUGAUGUGGACUUCAGUUAUUUGCGAAGAAUGGCACAGGGAAAAGUAGCCUCUGUGGGCCCAAUAAAACAACACACAUUUUUAAAAAAUAUGGGUAUUGAUGUCCGGCUGAAGGUUCUUUUAGAUAAAUCAAAUGAGCCAUCAGUGAGGCAGCAGUUACUUCAAGGAUAUGAUAUGUUAAUGAAUCCAAAGAAGAUGGGAGAGAGAUUUAACUUUUUUGCCUUGCUACCUCAUCAGAGACUUCAAGGUGGAAGACAUCAGAGGAAUGCACGUCAGUCAAAACCCUUUGCAUCCCUUGUAGCUGGGUUUAGUGAACUUGCUUGGCAGUGAUAUUUCAGCUUGGACAUUUUACCCUUCAGUCGGCCCA